GCAUUGGUGGUUCAGUGGUAGAAUUCUCGCCUGCCACAUGGGAGACCCUGGUAUGGUUCCUGGCCAAUGCA
rnacentral:tRNA from 1 species